GUCGGGAUAGCUCAGUUGGUAAAGCAGAGGACUG
rnacentral:tRNA from 1 species